CUAAAAAGAAGAUAAAUAGGAUAUUAGUGAAAAUAAAUGAUUUCUUCAAAUUCACUCUACUUUGGAAAAACAUUGUUACAAGCAACACUGGACAAGGAGAUUCUGGUUUUGCUAAUGGGCCAAAUUUUUACCAUUUCAGAACUCCAAUUAUCCAGCAGCCAGAGGACCAUUGUAUUUGCCUUGCUGUCAUGUCAAGAUUGUUUAGAGGAUCAAUUGAGAUAACGCUCAAGAAGAUUUAUGACUCAUGAAGUAGUGUCAUAUCAUCACAGUGCUCAUGAUUUGAGCUAUCACUCCUUUCCUGAAGAACUCACAACACACACACUGUGUGCUGCAAUGUUGUCACUCUCUUCUGUGGAGUUGUCUCCUGCUAGUUCGCAGAAUGGCAAAGAUGCUCCGAACAGUCUUCAGCUCUCACAAUUCCUGUCUGUGACAAAUGCUGUGAAUUUCGUACUACUAUUGGCAUAAUUAGGGAGAAGCUAAAUUUUAACCAAGCACCUGGGUAAUAUAAUC
ensembl:lncRNA